rnacentral:rRNA from 1 species
UUGUUGCAGUUAAAAAGCUCGUAGUUGGAUCUCGGGUGCUAGCGUAUGGUUCGCUUUACUGCUGUAACUAUACGUCUAGUCCUAAUUAAUCGGUUGGCCGAUUAUGUCCUUUAUUGGGUGUUUUCGGUAGCCGGUACGUUUACUUUGAGAAAAUUAGAGUGCUUAAAGCAGGCCUUACGCCUGAAUAAUGUUGCAUGGAAUAAUAGAAUAGGACCUCGGUUCUAUUUUGUUGGUUUUGUAGAGCAUUGAGGUAAUGAUUAAUAGGGACAGACGGGGGCAUUCGUAUUGCGGUGUUAGAGGUGAAAUUCUUGGAUCGCCGCAAGACGAACAACUGCGAAAGCAUUUGCCAAGAAUGUUUUCAUUAAUCAAGAACGAAAGUUGGAGGUUCGAAGACGAUUAGAUACCGUCCUAGUUCCAACCAUAAACGAUGCCAGCUAGCGAUUAGCUGCUGUUAUUUAAACGACACAGCUAGCAGCUUCCGGGAAACCAAAGUUUUUGGGUUCCGGGGGAAGUAUGGUUGCAAAGCUGAAACUUAAAGGAAUUGACGGAAGGGCACCACCAGGAGUGGAGCCUGCGGCUUAAUUUGACUCAACACGGGAAAUCUCACCCGGCCCGGACACUGUAAGGA